GUAUUAUAUGGGGUGAGACAAAAUCUACUUAAAAACAUGUGUGUGUGUACUGUUCUAUGUGUUCGUAUGUGCGUUUGAUCACGUGGCCGUCAGUUGGUAAACAGCCCUACACAAUGGUCACUGCUGUAAAAUCCAAAAACAUUUUAUUAAU